rnacentral:lncRNA from 1 species
UGAAGAACCUGCCACGGUUUACACUGUCAACAAGUUACCAUUCCAUCAAGAGCAAUGAGCUCCACAACACCAGAUGGGGUUUCUGGACGCGAACAGCUCUUGGCUCAGCAAAGAAUGCACAGUAUGAUCAGCUCAGGUAAGAGACAGCUCCGUACCUCAGAUUUCAGUGGCUGACCGGGAAAAUACAGCCUAGC